AGGACGAACGCUGGCGGCGUGCUUAACACAUGCAAGUCGAGCGGAAAGGCCCUUCGGGGUACUCGAGCGGCGAACGGGUGAGUAACACGUGAGCAACCUGCCCUUAGCUUCGGGAUAGCUCCGGGAAACCGGAAUUAAUACCGGAUAUGACUAUGGCCGACAUCAGCCAUGGUGGAAAGUUUUUCGGCUAGGGAUGGACUCGCGGCCUAUCAGCUAGUUGGUGAGGUAACGGCUCACCAAGGCGACGACGGGUAGCCGGCCUGAGAGGGCGACCGGCCACACUGGGGACUGAGACACGGCCCCAGACUCCUACGGGAGGCAGCAGUGGGGAAUAUUGCGCAAUGGGCGAAAGCCUGACGCAGCGACGCCGCGUGGGGGAUGAAUGCCUUCGGGUUGUAAACCCCUUUCAGCAGGGACGAAGCGAAAGUGACGGUACCUGCAGAAGAGCGCCGGCUAACUACGUGCCAGCAGCCGC
rnacentral:rRNA from 1 species